rnacentral:piRNA from 1 species
UCAGAGAGAAGAUAGCCACGGACAAG